rnacentral:rRNA from 1 species
UAAUUUACUUUCGUUAUGUUGGUGUAUAUCUGGUUUAAUAUUAUCGUUGAGUAAGUGAGUUUGUGUAGUUUUAUUUAAGCCAAGUCUAUGUGCUGCUUAUGAAAGUAUUCAUGCGUUACAUUUAUAAGGUUUUGGUUGUAAUACUAAAAUAUUUAGGACUUAAAAGUAAUGUUCAAUAAGUUUGUGAGUGUGAAGUAAGUUUAGCUCAUGUAC